CGGACGGGUGAGUAACACGUGGAUAACCUACCUAUAAGACUGGGAUAACUUCGGGAAACCGGAGCUAAUACCGGAUAAUAUUUUGAACCGCAUGGUUCAAAAGUGAAAGACGGUCUUGCUGUCACUUAUAGAUGGAUCCGCGCUGCAUUAGCUAGUUGGUAAGGUAACGGCUUACCAAGGCAACGAUGCGUAGCCGACUUGAGAGGGUGAUCGGCCACACUGGAACUGAGACACGGUCCAG
rnacentral:rRNA from 1 species